CUGACGAGAGGCGGACGGGUGAGUAAUGCGUAGGAAUCUGUCUUUUAGUGGGGGACAACCCAGGGAAACUUGGGCUAAUACCGCAUGAGCCCUGAGGGGGAAAGCGGGGGAUCUUCGGACCUCGCGCUAAGAGAGGAGCCUACGUCUGAUUAGCUAGUUGGUAGGGUAAAGGCCUACCAAGGCGACGAUCAGUAGCUGGUCUGAGAGGACGACCAGCCACACUGGGACUGAGACACGGCCCAGACUCCUACGGGAGGCAGCAGUGGGGAAUUUUUCGCAAUGGGGGCAACCCUGACGAAGCAAUGCCGCGUGGANGAAGAAGGCCUUCGGGUUGUAAAGUCCUUUCGUGGGGGACGAAAAGGUGGUUCCUAAUACNAGCUNCUGUUGACGUGAACCCAAGAAGAAGCACCGGCUAACUCCGUGCCAGCNGCCGCGGUAAUUCAAGGGCGAAUU
rnacentral:rRNA from 1 species